CUGUCAUCAGCUAUCUGUCACAAUACAAACAUGGCGACGAUGGUGCUCGUUUAAAGAGACAGCGACGCGUUUUUACUACCCUUUUGCUACGACGAAACUUUAUUGUUAUCGGCAAUAACGAAAGUGAAUCAUGGGCAAUGCCGACACAAAGUUGAAUUUCCGAAAGGCCGUGGUGCAAUUAACGUCGAAAACUCAGGUGAUUGAUUCAUCGGACGACAUUUUCUGGGAUCAAUUCUGGUCUGAGAAUGUGACUAAUGUUCAGGACAUCUUCACUUUAAUCCCAGCUCCAGAGAUUCGCAUAUUAAGAGAAGAAGCACCUUCUAAUUUGGCUACUUUAUGUUACAAAGCAGUUGAGAAAUUAGUUAAGGCGGUGGACAGUAGUUGUAGAACUCAGCGGGAGCAUCAAACUGUCUUGAACUGCUGUCGUUUGCUGACACGUUUAUUACCCUACAUAUUUGAAGAUACAGAUUGGAAAGGCUUUUUCUGGUCUAGUUUACCUGGCAAAGAUGAUGAAGAGAGUUUGCCACUGGCGCAUUCUCUGUUGAAUGCGAUUUCUGAUUUGUUGUUCUGCCCUGAUUUUACAGUAGCUGCAAAUAGAAAAUCAGGCCCGGACAAAGUCGAUGAAUUGCAAUCAAUAGAUAGCUGCGAAUAUAUAUGGGAAGCUGGAGUGGGUUUCGCGUACUCGCCACCGAGGUAUCCUAUUCUGGAUUCCAAUCGCACGGAAUUGUUAAAACUCUUGUUGACAUGCUUUAGUGAAACCAUGUACAAUCCGCCGAUGGAUUUAUCAGUCACGCCGAAUAAAUGGAUUCAACAUUUGACUAGCAGUGAAAACAGACACGCAUUGCCGAUGUUUACCUCGCUGCUAAAUACCGUAUGUGCAUAUGAUCCUGUUGGUUAUGGGGUACCAUACAAUCAUUUGUUGUUUACCGAUUCUCUGGAACCGCUGGUUGAUGUCGCGCUGCAAAUUCUGAUUGUAACAUUGGAUCAUGAUACUACUGGCGGAGCACCAUUGGAAGAGGGGGCAGUUGGAGACAACUUGUUCAUUAAUUAUCUGAGUCGAAUUCAUCGUGAUGAAGAUUUCCAAUUUGUCUUAAAGGGAAUAACCAGACUAUUGAAUAAUCCACUGAUGCAAACAUAUCUGCCAAAUUCGACCAAGAAAGUGCAUUUUCACCAAGAAUUGCUGGUUUUCUUCUGGAAGAUGUGUGACUAUAACAAGAAGUUCUUAUAUUACGUAUUAAAGAGCUCUGAUGUUCUCGAAGUUCUUGUACCGAUUCUUUAUCAUUUAAACGAUUCACGCGCCGAUCAAUCACGAGUUGGUUUGAUGCAUAUUGGUGUGUUUAUCUUGCUUCUUUUGAGUGGAGAACGCAAUUUUGGAGUGAGGUUGAAUAAACCAUAUACAGCUACAGUGCCUAUGGACAUUCCAGUUUUUACAGGAACGCAUGCUGACCUUUUAGUUACUGUAUUCCACAAAAUUAUCACGACUGGUCAUCAGAGACUGCAACCAUUAUUCGACUGUCUACUGACAAUUCUAGUCAAUGUUUCACCGUAUCUCAAAACUUUAUCCAUGGUAGCCAGUACAAAACUGUUGCAUCUCUUGGAGGCAUUUAGUACACCAUGGUUCCUUUUCUCAGCACCCACCAAUCACCACUUGGUGUUCUUUUUGCUCGAGAUCUUUAACAAUAUUAUCCAGUAUCAAUUUGAUGGGAACAGCAAUUUAGUCUACACUAUAAUACGCAAACGGCAAGUAUUUCACGCGCUCGCAAAUCUACCCAGUGAUUGCAACACGAUCGCAAAGUCCCUCAGUAAGAGACAGCGUCGUCACGUGCCUGCAAGCACGUCCAACGAGAACGUCAGCGAAACCGCGAUGGAAGGAUCGCAUCCUGCGCAACCCGCCGAACCCGGCACUUUAAAGGCGUCUCUUUUGGAAACUCCUGGUAUUGAGAACAUGACGGAGAAAGAAUCAGCGCAUCCAUUAAGUCCGUCAGCCAGCGUUGAUAUUGGUAAAUCUAUUGGAAAUCGAUCGGAAAGCAAGACUGAUAUCACGGAGGAAUCGAUAAACGCGACCAAAAAUUCUGUGGUUCCGAAGGGUGGCAUCCGUGUGGCCGAACAAGCGAACGCUAAUAUGGACAAUGUGAAACAAUGGGUGCCAUCCAGUGACUGGGUAUGGCAAUGGAAGAGCAAGCUUCCAUUGCAGACUAUUAUGCGACUGCUUCAAGUCCUUGUGCCGCAAGUUGAGAAAAUCUGCAUUGAUAAGGGACUGACAGACGAGAGUGAGAUUUUGAAGUUCCUGCAACAUGGCACUCUGGUCGGCCUAUUACCAGUUCCGCAUCCUAUCCUCAUCAGACGAUAUCAGGCUAACGCUGGUACGACAGCGUGGUUUCGCACAUACAUGUGGGGCGUUAUAUAUCUAAGAAAUGUCGAACCUCCUAUAUGGUAUGACACGGAUGUCAAGCUAUUCGAGAUUCAAAGGGUUUAGAGAAAUGCGUUAUCGUUUGCGCUCGAAAUACUAUUUUAUUGGCAGUGCGCAGAAAGACAUACAACGAGCGGCGAACAUUCAGUGCACGCUUCAUCUCGUUUCUGAUUACUUUUUAUACGGCAAGAGCCUCCAAAGUACUUUCAUCUUGAUGUAACAUAUGUGAACCGCAAGAUUGUAAACGUUUACAAUCGACAUCAUAUGAUUUAUUAUUAUUAUAUCCCGAAGACUGUAAUUUUUCAUUUGUAUCAUAGUAAUAAUAUAUACCAUUAGUUAUAAUGUGGAAAAGACGUAUAUCAUUGGUCUUAAAGAAAAAUGCAUUAAUUAAAUUAGUCUAAUAUAGAUGAGAUUAU